rnacentral:rRNA from 1 species
GGCAGCAGCUAAGAAUAUUCCGCAAUGGACGAAAGUCUGACGGAGCGACGCCGCGUGGAUGAUGAAGGCCGGAAGGUUGUAAAAUCCUUUUAUGACUGAGGAAUAAGCAGGGUGAGAGAAACGCCUUGUGGUGACUGUAGGUCAUGAAUAAGCAACGGCUAAUUACGUGCCAGCAGCCGCGGUAACACGUAAGUUGCGAGCGUUGUUCGGAAUUAUUGGGCGUAAAGGGCAUGUAGGCGGUUCUGCAAGUCUGGUGUGAAAUGCCGGGGCUCAACCCCGGAACUGCGUUGGAAACUGCAGGACUUGAAUCGCUGAGGGGCAGCCAGAAUUCCAGGUGUAGGGGUGAAAUCUGUAGAUAUCUGGAAGAAUACCAAUGGCGAAGGCAGGCUGCCAGCAGAUGAUUGACGCUGAGGUGCGAAGGUGCGGGGAGCAAACAGGAUUAGAUACCCUGGUAGUCCGCACAGUCAACUAUGUACACUGGGUGUCCGCUCAUGAGAGUGGGUGCCGAAGCAAACGCGAUAAGUGUACCGCCUGGGGAGUAUGCCCGCAAGGGUGAAACUCAAAGGAAUUGACGG